rnacentral:rRNA from 1 species
AGUGAACGCUGGCGGUAGGCCUAACACAUGCAAGUCGAACGGCAGCACAGUAAGAGCUUGCUCUUACGGGUGGCGAGUGGCGGACGGGUGAGGAAUACAUCGGAAUCUACUUUUUCGUGGGGGAUAACGUAGGGAAACUUACGCUAAUACCGCAUACGACCUACGGGUGAAAGCAGGGGAUCUUCGGACCUUGCGCGAUUGAAUGAGCCGAUGUCGGAUUAGCUAGUUGGCGGGGUAAAGGCCCACCAAGGCGACGAUCCGUAGCUGGUCUGAGAGGAUGAUCAGCCACACUGGAACUGAGACACGGUCCAGCCUCCUACGGGAGGCAGCAGUGGGGAAUAUUGGACAAUGGGCGCAAGCCUGAUCCAGCCCUACCGCGUGGGUGAAGAAGGCCUUCGGGUUGUAAAGCCCUUUUGUUGGGAAAGAAAAGCAGCAGGUUAAUACCCCGCUGUUCUGACGGUACCCAAAGAAUAAGCACCGGCUAACUUCGUG